rnacentral:rRNA from 1 species
AUUGAACGCUGGCGGAAUGCUUUACACAUGCAAGUCGAGCGGCAGCACGGGGGCAACCCUGGUGGCGAGCGGCGAACGGGUGAGUAAUACAUCGGAACAUGCCCAGUCGUGGGGGAUAACACUUCGAAAGAAGUGCUAAUACCGCAUACGUCCUGAGGGAGAAAGCGGGGGAUCUUCGGACCUCGCGCGAUUGGAGUGGCCGAUGUCAGAUUAGCUAGUUGGUGGGGUAAAGGCCUCCCAAGGCAACGAUCUGUAGCUGGUCUGAGAGGAUGAUCAGCCACACUGGGACUGGGACACGGCCCAGACUCCUAGGGGAGCCAGAAGUGGGGAAUUUUAGCCAAGGGGGGCAACCCUGAUCCGGCCAUUCGGCGUGGGUGAAGAAGGCCUUCGGGUUGUAAAGCUCUUCCGGCAGGAACGAAACGGCGAGCUCAAACAUGGCUGGCUAAUGACGGUACUGAAGAAGAAGCACCGGCUAACUACGUGCCAGCCGCCGCCGUAAGAC